GUCUAUGGCCAUACCACCCCGAACACUCCCGAUCUCAUCUGAUCUUGGAAACUAAGCAGGGUCCGGCCUGGCUAGUACUUGGGUGGGAGAAAAGUGCUAAUUUCU
rnacentral:rRNA from 1 species